AAUGGCGUGAACCCGGGAGGCGGAGCUUGCAGUGAGCCGAGAUCCCGCCACUGCACUCCAGCCUGGGCGACAGAGCGAGACUCUGUCUCAAAAAAAAAAAAAAAAAAAAAAGGAAUCCAGAGACCAAGACUAAACCCCAUUUCCAGUAAUUGGCCCACCUUGGUUUGCUAGUAACAUCUCACAUUCUUUGCCGUGAUUAAAUCAUUGCCCACUAGGCUUAAUCUUGUAAAUUACUUUCAAUAGGCAUGACAUAUAUCCUGAAUUAAUUUCUUCUUAGAUUAGCAUUAGCCCAGUUCCCAGGAGGAGAGAGGGGCACAGCGUGCCACGCAGGCCACACAGGGAAGCACCGGCUCAGCCGGGAGGCAGAGGGAGUGAGGGGAAAGGUAGGUGAGGACCUUUAGUGUGGAUUCCAAGGGAAGGAACAGGAGAGGAAGGGUAAGCAGGCUAUUUGAAUAAUUUCCCUGAGCUCUGGGGUGUAGGGGCUGUCCCGAGUUUUCUGGUGUGUGGCCCUGGAGUGAUUAGGGUAGAGAACAGCGGUUCUAAGUGAGAGAGCCUGGAUUGGCAGUGUGGGCUCUGGUUGGUUUGCAUAUGAAAGUGUGCCCCAGUGAGUAAUUUGCUAUCUCUAGGAAUUGGCUAGCCCUGGGAGGGACAGGGUCUCCUGGACCAGCAAGGCACCAAGAGGUCAAAGCAUAAGAAUUGCAGAAAAUAGAAAGUCAUGAUUAAUACAAGACGGAGAAGAAAAGAUGCAGAGAGACUAAAUAAUAUACUGGAAAGAGGAGAACACAGCAACAGAUUGGUUAAAGCCACGAAGAAUGCAAGACCCACUGUUGAUCCUGUGUGAGCAGGCAACCCGCUUGCUGUCACUCAAGAGCACAUUUUCUGCCUACCUGCUGUGGGUCUUGGCACUCAGAUCCUUUAGAAAAGCU
rnacentral:lncRNA from 10 species